rnacentral:lncRNA from 10 species
GAGAGACUCUGCCUUUUCAACAUGGAUGGCUCCUCCCGCUGCCGCUGCCGCUCCAGGAGACAGGCAUUACAGAGCAUCAGUUAGGUGCAGAGACUGGGCAGUGCACCCGUGUGCAAAGACAGGAGACACGAAUCUUCCCUGAAGGAGUGACAGUCUAGGGAGGAAGGCAGACUGCAGGAUUCUUCAUGUUUACAAAAAAAUGUGCCAAGUGCUGUACAAUCUUUGCAUUCUUUCCCAUUUUCCAGCUGAUUUUUUGUUCUCAAAGAGCUGGCAAAAUACAGAGUCCUUGGAAGUAUAAUAAAAUAAUCAGAAUCUAGUCAUUAUUAUUUCUCCUCACCAUUUGGAAAAAAUUUGUGUCCAUUAUAUUUCCAAAAACUUCCAACCUGUAUUAUCUUUUGUAAAGAUAAAAAAUUUUUUACUUGAGGUGAAUAAUUUUCAGCAAGAGUACAUCUUUGUUUCCUAUUCAAACUACUUGGCCAUGUGUUUGAAUUCUUUGCAUUUUUAAAGCUACUUUUUUUUAGAUUCAUCGAUUAUUUCUGACAAUGGAACUA